rnacentral:rRNA from 1 species
AUCUAUGGCCAUAUCACCCUGAAUGAGCCCCAUCUCAUCUGACCUCGGAAGCUGAGCAGGGUCGGGCCUGGUCAGCACUUGGGUGGGAGAAACUUUUGCUUCCUGACUACAGAUG